rnacentral:lncRNA from 1 species
GAUGUAUCUCAACGGCUCACCUGAUCAAGGAGUAUGGAUGGGCUGCAAUGGAAGCACUGAAGUGUUGGGAUACUGUGAUGCGGAUUGGGCUGGUGAUAGAGCAGACAGGAGAUCAACCACAGGCUAUUGCACAUUCAUUGGAGGCAACUUGGUGACUUGGAAGAGUAAGAAGCAGAAGGUGGUGUCUUGCUCAAGUGCAGAAGCUGAGUAUAGAGCAAUGCUGAAGCUCACCAACGAGUUAGUAUGGAUCAAAGGCAUCUUGAAGCAUUUGGAGAUUGAUCAAGCCACGCCAAUGACCAUGUAUUGUGACAACCAAGCCGCCAUUCACAUUGCCUCCAACUCGGUGUUCCAUGAGAGAACCAAGCACAUUGAAGUUGAUUGUCACAAGGUGAGGCAGAUGAUCAUCUUAGGAGUCAUCUGUUGAGUUGAGCUAAGUAUAUGUAUGAAGAGCUAAGGAGUUGAAGAGGAAAGGAGAUGAGGAAGCUUAAGGGAGUUUAGGGAGAGCAUGGUACGGACGUCCGUACAAGGCCGUACAAGCCGUACAGUCCGUACCAUCCAAGCCUCAACCUAAACUUACCUUGCACAAGUGAAACGGUAACUAUGGAAGAGUUACUCAAGUGGAGAAGGAUCAGACCGUUUAAGGGAUAAGGGACGCGCAUUGCCAGGCUGGGACAGGCUGGAAAGCUAAAGCAACUUUAGUCCAAGAUGCCAUAAGCGUGUGAUGCCUCUUAGUGGCUAAUUUGAAUCCUUUACCUUGACUUCACAUGCUUACCCCUUAACCUUGCGCUUUGUAAACCCUAGUAGCUCUCCUAUAUAUUGUAACUCAUCAACACUAAUAAAGUUUAUGCAGUUUGAGUCUCUCUAAUCUCUUAGACACUAUGGUUCUCUCUUAGACUCUAAACGUUUCUCAAAGUUACUUAGUCUUUCAUAAUCUCUUCUAAACUUCACCUAAAACUCUCACUUACAUUCUAGUUACUCUAAAGAUCUCUUAAUCUCAUAUGGUAUCAGAGCCAGGUUCAUUAGAAUCUGGGGUUUGAUCUUUAGAGAGUUACAAGGCUUUGAAGCUACACGCGAGUAGCUUUGAAGGUAUUGGAGCUGCGCUACGUUCUGUGUUUGUGCGUGAUUCAAGACUCAAGAUUUCAUCAGAUUCAAGCUGUUCAAGUCAAGCUGAGUAAAGAUGGAGCAUGGGUUAAGCAUGAGGAUGAAGGUGGCGGUUACUUUCAAGGGUAGCAACUACCUUGUGUGGUCUCGGAUGGUGAAGACUGCGGUGGGGAGUAAGGGUUUGUGGGGGCACAUCACAACAGGGGAGGCUCCGAAACUCAUUACUCAGGGAGGAGAUCAAGAAGAGGUCUCCAAUGAAGCGGCUGUGGAGAAAUGGCAACAAGAAGACAUGCUGGUGAUGACGGUUCUACACGCAUCCUUGGACCCAGCUAUCUUGGAUGCUUACAGCUACUGUGAAUCAGCCAAAGAGCUGUGGGACACGCUGAAGAAGGUGUAUGGGAACACUUCCAACCUCAGCCGUGUGUUUGAAGUGAAGCUAGCGAUCAACCGUCUUGCACAAGAGGACAUGGAGUUCACUAAGCACUUGGGGAGGUUCAGGUCCUUAUGGUCAGAGCUGGAGAUGCUGAGGCCGAGCACAACUGAUCCAGAUCAGCUGAAUGAGAGGCGCGAGCAAGACAAGGUCUUUGGGUUGCUUCUCACACUGAACCCGGCCUACACUCAACUCAUUCAGCACAUGUUGAGGUCAGACAAGCUUCCGGACCUUGAGGAGGUGUGUGCGCAAAUCCAAAGGGAGCAGGGAUCUAUGGGGUUGUUUGGAGGAAAGGGGGAGCUCUCUCUUGCCAAUCAAGCAGCUCAUGAGGACUCAACCGAGGCUCCACAAGCAAACAAGGCAUCUCACGGGAAGUAUGAGGACAGGAAGUUCAAUGGCAACUGUGAUCAUUGCAAGAAGCAUGGUCAUAAGAAGAGCCAAUGCUGGAUACUUCACCCACACCUCAAGCCGGCCAAGUUCAUGAAGGAGCGUGAGGGAAGGGCAAAUGUGACUGAAGGUUCAAGUGGAGCUGGCACCAGCAAGAUGAGUGAAGUGGAUGGGCUUGGAGGCAAUGAUGGGAAUGGGAAGUCUCUUGUGGCUUACACUGGCGCCUCAAGCUCACGCAGCAAUGAUGACUACAUCAAGAGAUCAGACCUUGAUGCACUCUUCAAAAUGCUAAAGGAAAACGGUAACACUUAUGGUUAUUCCUUUGGAGCUUCUAUGAUUGCAUAUAAGGAUGAUCACUUGAUUAGAGAACUAGUAGAACGGUUAGAAACUAGAAUGAGUAUAGAAAUGCCCACAUUGCUAGAACUGAUAGGAUGCAUCCAUUACUUAGUAAUCUAUGUCAUAAUGCUAAACGAGUAGGUAAACCAUUGAUUGUUGAUUCUGGUGCAUCACAUCAUAUGAUAAGUGAUGAGAACUUGAUUAAGGAUAUAGAACCUACACAUGGGCAUGUGAUGAUAGCAAAUGGGGAUAAGAUACCUAUUAGAGGAAUAGGAAAGCUUAAGUUGUUUAACAAAGAAUCUAGAGCUUUUUACAUGCCUGAAUUCACAUCAAACCUAUUAUCUGUGAAGAAAUGUACUAAUGAUUUACAAUGCAAUGUUAUCUUUAGUCCUAAUGAUGUGAAGUUUCAGGAUAUUGAGAGCAGCAGAUUGAUUGGGAAAGGGGUGACUAAGGGAGAUCUCUAUAUGCUUGAAGAACUCACUUCUGUUCCUGAUUAUAGUUGCUCAUUUACUUCUGCUUCUUUGUUGAAUAAAAAUGCAUUGUGGCAUGCUAGAGUAGGACACCCUCAUGUUAAAGCUUUGAACUUAAUGGUACCAGGUGUUGUGUUUGAGAACAAAGAUUGUGAAGCUUGUAUUUUAGGCAAGCAUUGUAGAACUGUGUUUCAAAAGUCUACUACUAUCUAUGAUAACUGCUUUGAUUUAAUUCAUUCUGAUGUGUGGACUGCCCCUUGCUUAUCUAGAGAUAGUUAUAAGUACUUUGUCACAUUCAUUGAUGAAAAAUCCAAAUACACCUGGUUAACCUUAAUUCAGACCAAAGAUAGGGUACUUGAUGCAUUUAGGAACUUUCAAACUUAUGUAACUAACCAUUAUCAUGCUAAGAUUAAAAUUUUGAGAUCAGAUAAUGGAGGAGAGUACACAAGUCAUGCAUUCAAGGAACACUUAUCACAACAUGGGAUCCUACAUCAAACAAGCUGUCCGUAUACUCCACAGCAAAAUGGAGUGGCUGAGAGGAAGAAUAGGCACCUCAUGGAAGUGGCAAGGUCUCUGAUGUUUCAGAGUAAUGUUCCAAAGAGAUUCUGGAGUGAUGCGGUUGCCACUGCUUGUUACUUGAUCAACAGAACUCCAACCAAGGUUCUGAAUGAGAAGGCUCCAUUUGAAGUUCUGAACAGGUACAAACCAGUGCUUGAUUACUUGCGAGUCUUUGGAUGUCUAUGCUUUGUGCUCAAACCAGGAGAGAUGAUCAACAAGCUAGAAGCAAGAAGUACUAAGGCUGUGUUCAUAGGAUACUCAGCUACACAGAAAGGAUACAAAUGCUAUGACCCUAUAGCAAGGAGAGUUCUUGUAUCUAGAGAUGUGAAGUUCUUGGAAGAUAGAGGAUACUAUGAAGAAAAGAACCAAGAAGACUUGAAGGACUUAACAUCAGACAAGGCCACCACCUUGCGGAUCAUCCUUGAAGGUCUUGGAAUCAGUACAUCCCAGGAUCCAAGAGAUCACGCAACAACACCUCCUGAAGUUGGUUCACCAUCCCACCUUGAUCAUGAGGGAGGAGAGACACAUGAGGAGGAGCCUACGCAAGAGACUAACCAAGAUGAAGGAGAAGAGAGCAUAGGCUCUGAUGGUCAUGGGCAUGAUCAUGGUGUGAUACAAACACCUUCUCAAGAUGAAGUGGUAGAAGAACAACAGGAAGAAGAACCGGUUGUGCAGCCACUAAGAAGGAGUACAAGGAUAAGGAAGGAUCCUUCCAGUUGGGUAAACACGAGAGUGUACUACAAUGCCCAAGCUGUGGAGCAUCCUUCUCAAGCCGUGUGCUCCUUUGCUCAAUAUCCAGAAGCACAUUGCGCUUUCAUGGUAAACUUGGAUGAGAAUCACAUCCCAAGAAGCUAUGAAGAGGCAAUAAAGGAUAAAGAAUGGAAAGAGUCAGUAGGAGAUGAAGCAGGAGCUAUGAUCAAGAAUGAUACAUGGUAUGAGAGUGAGUUACCAAAAGGGAAGAAGGCUGUGACUAGUAGAUGGAUCUUCACAAUCAAGUACAAAGCGGAUGGAAAGAUUGAGAGGAAGAAGUCAAGACUGGUUGCAAGAGGCUUUACUCAAACCUAUGGAGAGGAUUAUGUUGAGACAUUUGCACCAGUAGCUAAGUUGCAUACAAUCCGAAUUGUAUUAAGCUUGGCUGUGAACCUUGGAUGGGGCUUAUGGCAAAUGGAUGUGAAGAAUGCAUUCCUACAAGGGGAACUUGAGGAUGAAGUAUAUAUGCAUCCCCCACCAGGCUUGGAACACUUAGUGAAGAAGGGAAAUGUGUUGAGACUGAAGAAGGCUAUCUAUGGGUUGAAGCAAUCACCAAGAGCUUGGUACAACAAGCUGAGCACAACUCUGAAUGGCCGAGGCUUCAAGAAGUCUGAACUAGAUCACACUCUCUUCACACUCACAACUCCCUCAGGUAUGAUUGCACUCCUUGUGUAUGUUGAUGAUAUCAUUAUCACAGGGAGUGAUAAGGAAGGUAUCAUUGCAACCAAGGAGUUUCUUAAGUCCAUGUUUGAGAUUAAAGACUUGGGAGAGAUGAAAUACUUUCUUGGGAUUGAGAUAUGUAGAUCCAAGGAAGGUUUAUUCAUGUCCCAAAGGAAGUAUACACUUGAUCUCUUGAAAGGUGCAGGGGCUUAUGGGGGCAAGACAGCAAGGAUGCCUAUGGAGGAUGGCUACAAAGUUCCACGAGAGGGGGAGAUUGAAGACAGCAAACCUUAUCAGGAUCCUAAACUCUAUAGAAAACUAGUUGGCAAAUUGAUUUAUCUUACUAUAACUAGACCUGACAUUUGUUUUGCUGUGAAUCAGGUGAGUCAACACAUGCAAGUGCCUAAGGAACAUCACUGGCACAUGGUGGAGAGGAUCUUGAUGUAUCUCAACGGCUCACCUGAUCAAGGAGUAUGGAUGGGCUGCAAUGGAAGCACUGAAGUGGUGGGAUACUGUGAUGCGGAUUGGGCUGGUGAUAGAGCAGACAGGAGAUCAACCACAGGCUAUUGCACAUUCAUUGGAGGCAACUUGGUGACUUGGAAGAGUAAGAAGCAGAAGGUGGUGUCUUGCUCAAGUGCAGAAGC